UAAUACGUAGGGUGCAAGCGUUAAUCGGAAUUACUGGGCGUAAAGCGUGCGCAGGCGGUUAUGCAAGACAGAUGUGAAAUCCCCGGGCUUAACCUGGGAACUGCAUUUGUGACUGCAUAGCUAGAGUACGGUAGAGGGGGAUGGAAUUCCGCGUGUAGCAGUGAAAUGCGUAGAUAUGCGGAGGAACACCGAUGGCGAAGGCAGUCCCCUGGACCUGUACUGACGCUCAUGCACGAAAGCGUGGGGAGCAAACAGGAUUAGAUACCCUGGUAGUCCACGCCCUAAACGAUGUCAACUGGUUGUUGGGAAGGUUUCUUCUCAGUAACGUAGCUAACGCGUGAAGUUGACCGCCUGGGGAGUACGGCCGCAAGGUUG
rnacentral:rRNA from 1 species